rnacentral:misc_RNA from 1 species
CCGGAAGGUGCGGCUGGAUCACCUCCUUUCUAAGGAGCAACUGGCGAGCUGCUUCGGCAGCCCGCCCAGAGCCACAUCUAAGGCGAAUGUUCUUAGGUGGCUAGCUCAUUAGUGGAGCACUGGCUAUUCGGUCUGAGGCACUUGCCUCGGUCAGCAAGUACUGUCCGCAUGGUUGAGCAUGCGGGCGUGGAAAGCAGAUCCGUGGGAGUGACUAGGCCGAGCACGCUGUUGGGUCCUGAGGGAACGGCCGCUAGGCUGAUUACCUCUGUCGGACCGUCGCUUUCAACCCCCAAAACAUUGGGGGUUGAAGCACGGGUACCGCCCGUAUCUUAAGAACUGCACAGUGGACGCGAGCAUCAUCUGUAGUUGCCAAGUUAAUAAGGGCACAC